rnacentral:lncRNA from 1 species
UAUAUUCAACACUAAUAUGACCUUAGUUGCCACUUCGCACACGUUAUUAAGGAUUUUUAGUUAACUUUCUUCUUUGAUAGUACUAUAAAAGUAUUUGUUCAUAUUAAUUGAAUAUAUAUUUUUUAGGGAAAUUAGAAAAAUUAAACUCUCAAAUAAAAAGGUAAAAUAAAAAAGAUAAAGUAAUUAUUCUUAAAAAACAUUAUACUAUUAUU